GUGCUUGCUUCAGCAGCACAUCAUAUACUAAAAUUGGAAUGAUAUGGAGAUUAGCAUGGCCCGUGCACACGGAUGACAUGCAAAUUUGUGAUGCAUUCCAUAUUUUA